rnacentral:rRNA from 1 species
GACGAACGCUGGCGGCGUGCUUAACACAUGCCAGUCGAACGGAAAGGCCCUGCUUUUGUGGGGUGCUCGAGUGGCGAACGGGUGAGUAACACGUGAGUAACCUGCCCUUGACUUUGGGAUAACUUCAGGAAACUGGGGCUAAUACCGGAUAGGAGCUCCUGCUGCAUGGUGGGGGUUGGAAAGUUUCGGCGGUUGGGGAUGGACUCGCGGCUUAUCAGCUUGUUGGUGGGGUAGUGGCUUACCAAGGCUUUGACGGGUAGCCGGCCUGAGAGGGUGACCGGCCACAUGGGGACUGAGAGACGGCCCAGACGCCUAUGGUAGGCAGCAGUGGGGAAUAUGGCACAAUGGGCGGAAGCCUGAUGCAGCAACGCCGCGUGCGGGAUGACGGCCUUCGGGUUGUAAACCGCUUUCGCCUGUGACGAAGCGUGAGUGACGGUAAUGGGUAAAGAAGCACCGGCUAACUACGUG